AACGAACGCUGGCGGCAUGCCUAACACAUGCAAGUCGAACGAGACCUUCGGGUCUAGUGGCGCACGGGUGCGUAACGCGUGGGAACCUGCCCUUAGGUUCGGAAUAACUCCCCGAAAGGGGUGCUAAUACCGGAUAAUGUCUUCGGACCAAAGAUUUAUCGCCUUUGGAUGGGCCCGCGUUGGGUUAGCUAGUUGGUAGGGUAAAAGCCUACCAAGGCGACGAUCCAUAGCUGGUCUGAGAGGAUGAUCAGCCACACUGGGACUGGGACACGGCCCAGACUCCUACGGGAGGCAGCAGUGGGGAAUAUUGGACAAUGGGCGAAAGCCUGAUCCAGCAAUGCCGCGUGAGUGAUGAAGGCCUUAGGGUUGUAAAGCUCUUUUACCCGGGAUGAUAAUGACAGUACCGGGAGAAUAAGCUCCGGCUAACUCCGUG
rnacentral:rRNA from 1 species